UGGGGAAUAUUGCACAAUGGGGGAAACCCUGAUGCAGCGACGCCGCGUGAACGAAGAAGGUAUUCGUAUCGUAAAGUUCUGUCCUAUGGGAAGAUAAUGACAGUACCAUAGAAGAAAGCUCCGGCUAAAUACGUGCCAGCAGCCGCGUUAAUACGUAUGGAGCGAGCGUUGUCCGGAAUUAUUGGGCGUAAAGGGUACGCAGGCGGUUUAAUAAGUCGAAUGUUAAAGAUCGGGGCUCAACCCCGCAAAGCAUUGGAAACUGAUAAACUUGAGUAGUGGAGAGGAAAGUGGAAUUCCUAGUGUAGUGGUGAAAUACGUAGAUAUUAGGAGGAAUACCAGUAGCGAAGGCGACUUUCUGGACACAAACUGACGCUGAGGUACGAAAGCGUGGGGAGCAAACAGG
rnacentral:rRNA from 1 species